GACACAUUCUGAACAGUGUGCUUUACUGAACAGUGAUUUUCAGAAACCUCAACAGUUUGUUAAGUUAAUUCUCUAUGCGACAGCUGUAAUCUGGAUAGGUUAGGAAACAUAUUCUAGUGAAAUCAGUUGAAAUUCAAAAACAGCCCAAUACUUUUAGAUAACUUAUCUAAAUUAUUAUGAUCUAAAUUAUUAUGAUCUAAAUGUUUAAUUACUAUUAUCUGAAAAUGAGUGAGUGCGACUUAUAACUGAUUAUGAUACAACACGUCACAUAUUAGCUAUACAACAUUAUAUAUAAAAUGAUAUGAAAGUAUGGUAAGAUCAUACAGUACUUACUAGUACUUACUAGUAUGAUAUACUAUACAUACAAGCAAUUAUAUGUAACAUACACAUGAAAAGAUUAUUAAAACAUGAACCUCUCUGGUAUAGACAUUUCCAAGGUCAUGAGGUCUCAAUGUCUUAUGGACAUGUCAAAGAGCUAAACAUUGACUAGGUGUUAUUUAGAGUAGGCCUCAUUCUCACAGGGCCCAGUCUCAGAUGCUCUAUUUUACUGAAGCAAUUAUUCAUUAUUUCUGAAUUGAGAGUUAGCAUGUCAGUGUUAAAAAAGCUUGCAAAAUUUGUCCCAAUUCAGCAACAUUUUCACAGACAUUUAACACACACCUGUAAUUCUACUGUAAUGCUCCAUUUUAGACUCUAGAUGAUAUUACAUCAGACUUUAUUUAAACCACUAUUUUCAUAGGAAAUCAUGAUUGGUCAGUUCAAACAGGGAACACUUCAUAUGGAUGUUCUCUUUAUAAUGCAUUAAAGGUGCAUUAAUAACAACUUCUAUGCAUAAUGCAUCAUGAUGCACAACAUAGGUGCUAAUAGCUGCUCAUGAACAUCUAUAACUGCAUAAAGCAUUAUCACCAGGAUGUGUAAUGCCUUAUGAAGCAAAGUAUUACUAUGCCAGAUGCCAUAUUUGAAAAGCACAUUAGGAACAUUAUAUUAUACAUUCUGUGCUCAUUAAAUGGUAGGCUAUAUUCCAAUUGCACUGCACACCCUUUUUCACCUAUGUACUCUGUCUUGCAGGCAUAAAGGGAUAAUUCACCCAAAUUGCAAAAUUACAUAUUGUUGUUCUUACCCUGUAAGCAGUCUAUGGACAAGGUAAGAAAGCAAUCCAUGCUUUGGUUUUGUGUACUGUACUUGGUCACAGAAAAGCAAACGUUGUAGCAUUUGUGGCACAAAUCCAAGUCAAUAACCCUGAUAUAAGCAUUUUUCACAAAUCAUCCUAAAGUGUCUACAAUUGAUUGUGUAGCUCAAUGAAGUUAUUUUACGAUGAUUUGGACAUGAAGCUCGAAUAAAAUGCUAUAAAGGGGAUAUUGGCUUAACAUUACUUGACAUUGGAUUUGAUCUACAAAGUUAGCAUUUGAGGACAGUGGCCAGGUAAACAAAACCAAAGCAUGGAUUGCUCUCUGAGCUUCUCCAUGGACUGUUUACAGGGUAAGGAAACCAAAUGUAAUUUGUCAUUUGGGUGAACUAUACCCUUUAACGGGAGUGUGGAACUCCUGCGUGAAGUCGUUACAGUAUACCCCUCUGACACAUUUCCUAAAGAGCAUUUCAUGUAUGUCUUAUCACUUAGCUUCAUAAUCAUAAGGCAUUAUGCUGCCUGCUUAUAAUGCUGUAGGAAUAUACAUACAUUUAUUAGCAGCCAUUAGAGCCUAUGUCAUGCAUUAUAAUGUAUAAUGCAUAGAUUAUAAGGUGUUAUAAAGGCACUUAUAACGCAUUAUGAAAAGGGUAUUCAUAGGAAGUGUUACCCACAAUUCUUGCGGAAGGAACUGUACCCCACGUCCCCACCUACUAGUGACAUUGUGCAAAUUACCAGACCUUUAGACAGUAAUUGUGUAGCUAUGUUGAUAUUUGUGUUCACCGUUUCAUUAGAAUGUUUAUCACGUUUAUCACAUUGAGAGUAUCUGUCAGGUCAAAUGACUUAGGCAAAUUACAUACCCACUUACUUUGAGACCUUAUAACCUUGAUGUCAGAAAAGGUUCAUUUUCUUCAUAUUUUGAUGAUGGUUAUUUUACUUACUUGUAAUGUAUUUGAUAUGUCAUGUCUGUGGAUUGGUCCCAUACAUGUAUGAAUGGCUUUCGCCUGAUGCUUUUUAUGGUUAGUUAACUUACACAUGUAUUUAGUUUGAUUUCCUUAUUACAUUUUCAUUACCAAUUUAUAGUACUAUGCAUUUUGACUGUUGGAUUGACAGUCUGCUCAUACAUUGCUUAUAAUCAACCAAUACAAGUGAGCGAGUUACUUAAGACUAUUGUUUAAUGAACGACUCAGGUCUGAUGUAUGCAAUUGUCCCUCAUAAUCUCUUGUAUUAUUUGAAACAAACCUUCUGCAUGUAUUUGUAUGAAGGAACCUCCACAUUAUUGUCAUUGUCAUAUAUACAUAUAUACUAUAGCCUGCAAAUUUAGGAAGGCUAUUCUGCAGAAUUUUGUGUUUUAUAUAAUAGAAAUGUAGAACCUAAGAUUACUUCUUAAUAUUAUAAUAUGCGUUUCAUUCCUUUUAUCAUUAAAAUAUUCCUUUCCA